rnacentral:misc_RNA from 1 species
UGCAACUCAUUAGAGAUAGACUUAAGACAACCCAAAGUCGUCAAAAAUCUUAUGCAUGUGUAAGGAGAAGGGAACUAGAGUUCCAAGUUGAUGAUUGGUUUCUCUACAAGUCUCACCUAUAAAAGGGGUGAUGAGAUUUGGAAAGAAAGGGAAGCUCAGUCCUAGAUAUGUAGGCUCUUACAAGAUCUUGAAAAGGAUUGCCAAGGUGGCAUAUGAGUUAGAGUUUCCAGCAAAAUUAGCAGCAGUGCAUCCGGUCUUCCACAUCUCACUCUUGAAGAAGUGCGUGGGUGACCCAGCCUCUAUAGUG